GGGCGCUCGCAGGUCACGGAGCACCGGGAGCGGUUCGGUGCAAAGGAGCUCCGGGGACAGCGGCACAGUGGGGAAUGAGCACCACCGUAUAGACCUGACCACGUCCAGGCUUUCGUUAAACGCUUCCAGGGGCGGCGACUCCACCACUUCCCUGAGCAGGACGGUCUAAUGUCUUAAUCAGUUUUUCUGAGGAGAAAGUCCUCCCAAUAUCCAGUCUAAACCUCCCCUGGCGCAGCUUAAGACUCUGAUUGCUCCAACAACAAAAGUACCAGGACAGCAAAGUCAUGCUGGCCAUUACCUCCCCUGGGCAGCCAGCCCAUCCGCAAAAUUUGGAUUCCAGCGCCAGAAAUUAGUAGGUCUAAAGACUGCUUUUGCUCAACAGUGUAAGGUGGUCAGACAGCAGCGAAUGUCAGAGAGCAGAUGUGCCUUCAGCAGCCCCACAGAGACCUCAGCACAGUCCAAGAACAUGCCAGACUAGCACAGAACCUCACCUUUCAAUACUCCUGUUGCUACAACACAUCACAUCACUCUGAUGAAGGUAAGCUUGUGCUCAAGCACUGCACUGAAUCACCACUUGGCACUGUGAGGAAGAGCCCUCUUCAUCUCAAAUGUACCAUUUGUAUUAAUGCCCUUCUUUCCACCAUGACACACCAAGCACAGGGCUGCUGUGAGCAGCAGCAUCACACUCUGCUGUGUUUGGAGAGUAACUUACAAAGCUAUCACAACCCUGCAGUACUUUUCUGUCAGUGGUGCCCAGCAUCAUCCUGAGGGCCUCUCUGCUCCUCUCUGGAGUAAAUACACAGAAAGAUUGUCCAAAGUCCAAAGGUUUGAGGCUAGGAAGUGGUUACUCAGUGUUCAAAAACAGGGCAUUGCCUCUCAAUUUAAACAUAUGCCUAUACAGCAUUCUCAAACAACAGAAGCACUUUGGGGAGCAGAAAUAUUUGUUAACCUUAGGAGGUUGAGCCUGGGAAGUUACAACAGUAAAAAAUCAACCACAGCUGGGAGAUAUAAACUCCAGAUGUCAGGCAGGCUCCACAGGGACCAUCUGCAUGUAGCAUUCAAGGGAAAGGGAUUUUAUGUCACUGCUGAACCAUAGAUAAGGAUGGUGUACCUGAUUUCCUGAUUUCCUCCAACCUGACGUGUGAAAAACAUUUCCUGCUUCUGUUGGUUGAUGUGUUCUGGGGGAGUGUUCCAGGGGCCUGCACAAUCCCUUUGCAGGUUAUCCUUCUUGAGUCCCAAAAUACCACUCAAACCUACUCCAACUAGCUCUGUGAAGUAAAAAAUUAGCCAUUUCUUCAGAUCUAAGAAAGAUUUCUUCAGAUGUAAGAAAGAUGAACUUUCUUACAUCUUCUUGCUCAGCUCUGCAGUAGUGGGGAAGUUGUUCCAAGGCAGAAAGCCACACUGGAAGCAGCCAAGGGUGAGGAAAGCACAGAGCCUGCACAAAUCCCCAGGUGGCCAACAUGGCCCAAAACCAAGAGAGCUGGGGCCCAGGGCUGAGCAGGUUUUCUCUGAAGGAAACAAAGGCUUUGGCAAGUUUGUGGUUGUUACUUCAGGAGGCAGAAAGACCUCCAGGAAAUGAACCAUCUACAGAUCAGCAUUAAAGUCAGAUUAUUUUCUGCAUUUCAGAAUAUUCACCUCAAGCUGGUGCAAAGCCAGGGCCAUCCACCCCCUUCUCUGCAACACAACACUGCUUAGUCAAUGUUCUCAGACUCAGUUCACCUACCUGUCAGCUGCCUGAGUUUCAAAAACUCUUGAUUGAAAAGACCUUCUGAGAAAGUGGAGAGGCCUUGGGCAGCCACAAUGUCUGACUCCAAGCACUAAGACGUACAAAGCUCCAAUGCUGUGAGCCAGUAGACUGACACCAAAACAAUCUUUGCUACAGUUUAUUAACCAGAACAGCCUGAUACAUAAAUUUGUGUUUGGUAUUAUAUUCCUGUCAGAUUUGUCAAACAGAAGUUAUUUAUGGUGUAUAGGGAACAAACAACUUUUAAAUGGUAAUUAGAAAUUUUAAAUGGUAAUUAGAAGAUACCUCAAGCCAUAAACAAAUAAAACUCCAUUUAGAGUGGAGGACAGCCUUGUGUUCUCAUGGACCCCAUGUCCCAGGGAUGUGCUCUCAGCUCUGCUGAGCUCCCUGACCUCCACCUGACCAAGUCACAAAGUGUAAGGGAAC